GUUCCCAGCAGAGUAGGGAAGCAAAAGAUAACCAAGUGACUCUGUUGUUCCCAUCUCUGCAG
rnacentral:miRNA from 1 species